rnacentral:rRNA from 1 species
AUGACGUCAAGUCCUCAUGGCCUUUAUGUCUAGGGCUACACACGUGCUACAAUGGCCGGUACAGACGGACGCAAAGCCGCGAGGUGGAGCAAAUCCUAAAAAAGCCGGUCUCAGUUCGGAUUGCAGGCUGCAAUUCGCCUGCAUGAAGUCGGAAUCGCUAGUAAUCGCGGAUCAGCAUGCCGCGGUGAAUACGUUCCCGGGCCUU